rnacentral:rRNA from 1 species
GGAAGGAUCAUUACUGAGUUGUCGGCAUGAGCUGUUGCUGGUCCUCAAAACAAGGGGGCAUGUGCACGCUCUGUUCACACAUCCACUCACACCUGUGCACCCCCCGUAGUUCUAUGGUAUGGAAGACUCGCCGUCUUCUUUCUGUAGUUCUGCGUCUUUACACAUACACCGUAGUGAAGUCUUAUGGAAUGCGCACCGCGUUUAACGCAAUACAAUACAACUUUCAGCAACGGAUCUCUUGGCUCUCGCAUCGAUGAAGAACGCAGCGAAAUGCGAUAAGUAAUGUGAAUUGCAGAAUUCAGUGAAUCAUCGAAUCUUUGAACGCACCUUGCGCCCCUUGGCUAUUCCGAGGGGCAUGCCUGUUUGAGUAUCAUGAACACCUCAACUCUAACGGUUCACCCGUGACGAGCUUGGACUUCUGGAGGUUUUGCUGGCCUGUGGUCGGCUCCUCUCAAAUGGAUCAGCUUACCAGUGUUUGGUGGCGCCAUGGGUGUGAUAACUAUCUACGCCUGCGGCCGUCUGCCAGGAGACCUUCAGUGAUGAGGGUUUGCUGGGGCUUACAAAUGUCUCUCCUCAGCGAAGACAGCUUUUUUAACGUUCGAUCUCAAAUCAGGUAGGACUACCCGCUGAACUUAAGCAUAUCAAUAAGCGGAGGAAAAGAAACUAACAAGGAUUCCCCUAGUAACUGCGAGUGAAGCGGGAAAAGCUCAAAUUUAAAAUCUGGCGUCCUCUGGUCGUCCGAGUUGUAGUCUGGAGAAGCGUCUUCCGUGUUGGACCGUGUAUAAGUCUCUUGGAACAGGGCGUCAUAGAGGGUGAGAAUCCCGUCUUUGACACGGACUACCAAUGCUUUGUGAUGCGCUCUCAAAGAGUCGAGUUGUUUGGGAAUGCAGCUCAAAAUGGGUGGUAAAUUCCAUCUAAAGCUAAAU